CCUACGGGUGGCUGCAGUGAGGAAUAUUGGUCAAUGGACGAGAGUCUGAACCAGCCAAGUAGCGUGAAGGAUGACUGCCCUAUGGGUUGUAAACUUCUUUUAUAUGGGAAUAAAAUGUUCCACGUGUGGGCUUUUGUAUGUACCAUAUGAAUAAGGAUCGGCUAACUCCGUGCCAGCAGCCGCGGUAAUACGGAGGAUCCGAGCGUUAUCCGGAUUUAUUGGGUUUAAAGGGAGCGUAGGCGGAUCGUUAAGUCAGUGGUAAAAUUGAGGGGCUAAACCCCUUCCCGCCAUUGAAACUGGCGCUCUUGAGUGGAAGAGAAGUAUGCGGAAUGCGUGGUGUAGCGGUGAAAUGCAUAGAUAUCACGCAGAACCCCGAUUGCGAAGGCAGCAUGCCGGCUUCCGACUGACGCUGAAGCACGAAAGCGUGGGGAUCGAACAGGAUUAGAUACCCCAGUAGUC
rnacentral:rRNA from 1 species